rnacentral:rRNA from 1 species
GCUCGUGGAUCGAUGAAGACCGCAGCUAAAUGCGCGUCAGAAUGUGAACUGCAGGACACAUGAACACCGACAAGUUGAACGCAUAUUGCACAUCGUACAACACCGUACGAUGUACACAUUUUUGAGUGCCUAUAUUUAUCUAUUCAACUAUACGUGUGCCACCCACCCGGCGGUCAAACAUUUAAGAUAGUCAAGCGUGCGACGGUCAUAGUUGCGCGAUUGAUGAAUACAUCCCACCAGACGUCCGCAUCCCGUGGCGCUAGUGUUGUAUUCCAUCAGAGGGAGAGAGAGAGAGAGACAGUAUAGCAUAUCUAGUAGGCCUCAAAUAAUGUGUGACUACCCCCUAAAUUUAAGCA